rnacentral:rRNA from 1 species
AGUAAAUUGGUUAAGUUAGAAAGGGCGCACGGUGGAUGCCUUGGCACUAGGAGCCGAAGAAGGACGGGACUAACACCGAUAUGCUUUGGGGAGCUGUACGUAAGCGUUGAUCCAGAGAUUUCCGAAUGGGGGAACCCACUAUCUUUAGUCGGAUAGUAUCCUUACGUGAAUACAUAGCGUGAGGAAGGCAGACCCAGGGAACUGAAACAUCUAAGUACCUGGAGGAAGAGAAAGAAAAAUCGAUUUCCUGAGUAGCGGCGAGCGAAACGGAAAGAGCCCAAACCAAGAAGCUUGCUUCUUGGGGUUGUAGGACACUCUAUACGGAGUUACAAAAGAAAGUUAUAAAUGAAGCGGUCUGGAAAGGCCCGCCAAAGACGGUAACAGCCCGGUAGUUGAAAUGGCUUUCCCUCCAGAGUGGAUCCUGAGUACGGCGGAACACGUGAAAUUCC